GCUCGGCCCCCACGGUGAAACGGCCGCCUAAACCACCCAGGCCUUAUGGCUCCAUAGGCUGUGAUGCUCUCCUGAGCCC
ensembl:miRNA